GCGAACUCCUUUGAGAGUGUUGAAGCUGACUUCUGCUGAUGAAAUUGCAAACUAUUUUCUUCAAGUAAAAUUAUUAUUAUUAAUUGAACUCAUCUCUGAGUCCUGGUCUUCAUUGCGACAUAUCUGGUCCUUGGGUUUUAACUGUAAAUUCCCCUACAGUUAAUGGUGGAGGAUCGGCGGGCAAUCGUUCUGUGGUGACAUCCCUGAUCAAUCAUCAAACCAAGCUGGGGACACGCUCGAGCUGCAUUCUGUGCAGAUUCGCGACCUGGAGGUGAGGCAGGCCCAGCUGAGAGCGGUGAGCCACGCUGGAAUCAUCCCAGGCUGAAGCUCACAAGUCCGGUGCCCGAUGCACCCAGGACGCGAUCUUCCCAGAUGUCCUUCACUCCGACGGCGGGACACCACGGACCCUGGGUGCAUCCACAGCGGAGGACGCGAGCCGGGCCCCGGGCGACGACUUCUCCCCUUCCUGCCUUCGAGAUCUCCAUCCAGA